rnacentral:rRNA from 1 species
UUCCUGCUCAAUGAAAUUAAAUAGCCGCAGUACACUGACUGUGCAAAGGUAGCAUAAUCAAUUGGCCUAUAAUUGAGGUCUGGAAUGAACGGAUUUUUGGGAAAUUACUGUCUCUUUGUAAUUAUCGAAUUUAAUUAUUAAGUGUAAAUGCUUAUAAAUAUAUAAUAGACGAGAAGACCCUAGAAAUUUUUUAUAAGAAAUAUUAUUUUUACUAUUUUGUUGGGGCGACAGAAUUGCAAUUAACCUAUUUAAUUUUAUUAGAAGUUUAUCAGAAUAAUUAAUUACUCUAGGGAUAACAGCAUUAUUAUUUUAUAGAUUGUGACCUCGAUGUUGGACUAGGGACUUUACUGUUCAGAAGACAUAUAUGUAGCUCUGUUCGAGCUUUAUACCCU